rnacentral:rRNA from 1 species
UACGUAGGUGGCAAGCGUUGUCCGGAUUUAUUGGGUUUAAAGGGUGCGUAGGCGGCCCUGUAAGUCAGUGCUGAAAUAUCCCGGCUUAACCGGGGGGGUGGCAUUGAUACUGCGGGGCUAGAGUACAGAUGAGGUAGGCGGAAUUGACGGUGUAGCGGUGAAAUGCUUAGAUAUCGUCAAGAACACCUAUAGCGAAGGCAGCUUACUAGGCUGUAACUGACGCUGAGGCACGAAAGUGUGGGGAUCAAACAGG